rnacentral:lncRNA from 1 species
GCAGCAGCGGGUGUCCAGGGAGAGACCACAAGGCAAUCGUUGCCCCACCCCCAGCCCUCAGAGUUGUAAGGUCGGAACUGUUUCCCUGUAUUUACUGUCGCAGAGCCAGAGGGCAUGCAGGAGGCGCCUCCGCGCUGGCUUUGCAGAGGGAUUUCGUUUAACCCCAGUCAACACCAGCAGCAGGUCCUGCUCCCGCAGUGGUGUCUCCCCGCCCUCCUGCCUGAGGCCGAGAGGGCCCAUAGGCUUCUACACAGUAAGCACCCGGCAGGGUAGACAGCCAGGAAGAGGGAGGAGGGCCUUGGGAGGAAGGGUAUCAGGGAAUGACGCUGGUCCACACUGGCCACCCCAGCACAACACGGAAUGGAAUGUCCCAGCUACGCCCUGGCAGUGAGGUAAUGCCCUCUUGCUGACCCCGUGUGGCUGUGAGGGCCGAAGGCGAUCUCUGAGCCUCUUGGCUCCUCUAGUUUCUGCUGCUGCCUGCCGUUCAUUCAGCAGCCAUUCCUCAGCGGCUGUCUCACCUCCGAUCCACCCCGCAAGAUAUUCGUGCACACUGGCUGCCCUCCACGUAACCGACAGGACAGAGGAAGUCCUGCAAGGAGCAGGGCAAAGGGCUGCCCCAUGGGGCAUUCCAUGUCCUGCCCUUCCACAUUUUAGUUAAAAUUAAAAAUCCUCUCUCCUCAUGCUCCAAGUGCACUGUGUGAAAAGUUGGAAUUUAUCAUGCAGUGUGAGCUUAAAACCUUGUUCCUAAAGUUCCACACAUUGGAAUCUGGAGUCAGCUGGGUUCUCUCCGAGGUCCCGCUGGAUCAGAGAAGGAGGAAGACGCUGCAGUGGAGUCGGGCCCUUGGCACGUCAGAGGCACGAGGAAUCUGCACGUGAACAUCCAUUUCCAAGGCAAAAGAUCAACUAAAUAAAAAGAAAAAAAUAAAGUUCCUCCUUUGUAUCGCAGCCCACACUUUCCUCAACCGCUGUCCGCAGGUUUGUGUGCCUUCUCCUGGUCUUCUUUCUGUACAUUUAAAUCCGU